AGUUGAUAGUGUGGAUAGUCCCUAAAAAGAGCCUUGAAUCACUCCCAAGCAUGAUAAAGAUUCUCAUCUGGCUUCUGUUUGAAGCACACUAUCUCAUUGCAAAGU
rfam:Capsicum annuum cultivar Zunla-1 chromosome 9, whole genome shotgun sequence